GCAAAGUUGGCAGUGCCGCUCGAGCUGCGAAGCCAGAAGCAGAAUUUCGUCAUUUCAUAUGAUAUACCGUAAAGCGAGGAGCAGUCGAAAUAUCAAGAUAAAAAAUGCCAGAUUGGCCCCGGAAAGGUGGCCAAAUGCGCGGUACGAGUUUUCAGUAAUGAUUGGUACGUCGGCAAGGAAUCUAUAGAAGCCAUUGCCGUAGGCCCAAUGUGAGAAAUUAAGGGGCAUUGCGUGCUUCUGCAGCGUAAUUCAAAAAUGGAAAAUAUCACGUGAUCCUAAAUCUACAGCUGAUUACGGUUUAUUACGCGUAAACACGCCUCCGUGAGGAAGGCCUGCUGUACCAGCGACAUGACCCCCUUCAAUUUUUUCAUAGAACGGAUGCACGUGCCAGCAAAUAAGUAUUAGAUAUACAGACAUGUAGCAUAUGUAAAUCGCGCGUGCCAAAAGCAAAGCCAAACUAUACGUCGUCAAGUCUGUCCUAACAUACAUCUGUAUCAAUAGAAUGAAAAACGUAAAUCUAAAAUAGAAAAAAAAAAAAACUUGAAACUUGGAUUGUAAACAUUUUCCAGAAGUCUCGUUUAAAUUUAAACGAAAAUUUUUGUUACGAUAGCUUGGCAGAAAAUGUCCUUUAUAAUUUGGUUUAAAUCCACAAAUCAAUA